GGGGGCAUAGCUCAGCUGGGAGAGCACCGGCUUUGCAAGCCGGCGGUCAGCGGUUCGAUCCCGCUUGCCUCCACCA
rnacentral:tRNA from 1 species